rnacentral:rRNA from 1 species
UACGGGGGGGGCAAGCGUUGUUCGGAAUUACUGGGCGUAAAGGGCUCGUAGGUGGCCAACUAAGUCGGACGUGAAAUCCCUCGGCUUAACCGGGGAACUGCAUCCGAUACUGGAUGGCUUGAGUUCGGGAGAGGGAUGCGGAAUUCCAGGUGUAGCGGUGAAAUGCGUAGAUAUCUGGAGGAACACGGUGGCGAAGGCGGCAUCC